rnacentral:rRNA from 1 species
GGGUCAGUAGGUUGGUCGUGCCACCGGUACGUACUGGUCUCACUGAUUCCUCAUUCCUGAAGAACCGUAAUGCCAUUAAUUUGGUGUUGCGGGGAAACAGGACUGUUACUUUGAAAAAAUUAGAGUGUUUAAAGCAAGCUAACGCUUGAAUACAUUAGCAUGGAAUAAUGGAAUAGGACGAUCGAUCCUAUUUUGUUGGUUUCUAGGAUUGACGUA